GACGAACGCUGGCGGCGUGCCUAAUACAUGCAAGUCGAACGAACCGCGACUAAGUGCUUGCACUAAGUCAAGGUGAGUGGCGAACGGGUGAGUAACACGUGGGUAACCUACCUCAUAGUGGGGGAUAACAGUCGGAAACGACUGCUAAUACCGCAUAGGACAUAGGAUCACAUGAUCCAGUGAGGAAAGGUGGCGCACGCUAUCGCUAAGAGAUGGACCCGCGGUGCAUUAGCUAGUUGGUAGGGUAAAGGCCUACCAAGGCGAUGAUGCAUAGCCGACCUGAGAGGGUGAUCGGCCACAUUGGGACUGAGACACGGCCCAAACUCCUACGGGAGGCAGCAGUAGGGAAUCUUCCGCAAUGGACGCAAGUCUGACGGAGCAACGCCGCGUGAGUGAAGAAGGUCUUCGGAUCGUAAAGCUCUGUUGUUAGAGAAGAACAGCGCAUAGAGUAACUGCUAUGCGUGUGACGGUAUCUAACCAGAAAGCCACGGCUAACUACGUG
rnacentral:rRNA from 1 species